rnacentral:rRNA from 1 species
CCUACGGGAGGCAGCAGUGAGGAAUAUUGGUCAAUGGACGAGAGUCUGAACCAGCCAAGUAGCGUGAAGGAUGACUGCCCUAUGGGUUGUAAACUUCUUUUAUAUGGGAAUAAAAUGCUCCACGUGUGGCAUUUUGUAUGUACCAUAUGAAUAAGGAUCGGCUAACUCCGUGCCAGCAGCCGCGGUAAUACGGAGGAUCCGAGCGUUAUCCGGAUUUAUUGGGUUUAAAGGGUGCGUAGGUGGAUUGUUAAGUCAGUUGUGAAAGUUUGCGGCUCAACCGUAAAAUUGCAGUUGAAACUGGCAGUCUUGAGUGCAGUAGAGGUAGGCGGAAUUCGUGGUGUAGCGGUGAAAUGCUUAGAUAUCACGAAGAACUCCGAUUGCGAAGGCAGCCCACUGGACUGCAACUGACGCUGAGGCACGAAAGUGUGGGUAUCAAACAGGAUUAGAUACCCUGGUAGUC